AAAACAUAGAAACAAAAUAGAGACAUCAUUAGCAUGCUGCUGAUCCAACAAAGUAAAAUUAGUUUAACCCAAGCUAAUAAACAAGAAUGCACAUUUGAUCAGAUGCAACUACACUCACAAUUUAAGAGAUACAUUAUUCGAAUGCUUGGCGAAAGAGAUGCGUUACUCACCUGCUAGUGACAUCAUGCUCCUCCUCACCUGCUAGUGACAUCAGCAUCAUCUACACACCUGCUAGUGACACCAUGCUUCUCUUCACCUGCUAGUAACUGGUCUGCUCUGUGAUAAGCACAUUUUGCUAUCUUCUAAUUCUGAACACAUCAGAAAUCACCAACCCCUCCUGACAUAUCUUUCCAGUUUGGGCAAAAAAUUAAUGUAUUUGCCAAAGUAGAAUUCAACAACUUUAGCCGUGAUCUCUGUGAUCAGCUCAUCAUCUCUCCAUACCCUCUCCACAUGGAAGUCACCUCUUGUACUUGUCACAAGAUCACACCAGGUUAACUAAGCCAGUAACCAUCAGCUGACCGUGGAAUGCCAAUUGUGUGUUUCUUUCUUAGUUUUGCAUGGUCCCCAAUAAACUCAAUGUGGGAUGCCUCUCCGAUUUCUUUCACAUCAGGGCACUUAACCUCUACCAGGCCACAGAGAGGUUCUUCAUUUGGGUCCACCACUUUGCCAUCUGCACCAAGGUGUGGAGCAUCAGGGUGGAUGAUGAGACCAGAUGGAAGAACGUUAACGUCAAAGGUCUCCUCAUAGCGGUGAAGAACCUCUGGCUCAAGUUUUAAUCCUCUACACAUCGCUCUCUAGAGGCCCCGACAGAUGUUUACACACACUGUUUAAUGCAAGAUAUAAAUGCAUUUAACCUGCAAUUACAAAUGCAUAAUGUUUUGAUGUUUUAAUCCCAAAAUGUUGAAUACUGAUAUUUGCAAUGAUAAAUGAAAGUGCUUUAAGAGGUGAAAUUAAAAACACCAAUAUCUAGACAAUCAUGAAUUGUAACAUCACUUCCUUUAAUGUUUUUACUAUACAGUUGGUAUGGAAUUUGUUUAAAUGUUAAAUUUGUAAAAAAAAAAAAGUAUUACAUGUUUCAAUGAAAUGCUUAUACAAAAUAAAUAUGUAGUUAACUUUAAAGUAAAAUAAUUUAAUUUAGGGUCCUGAAAUACCCUGAACACUGCACAGAGGUUAAGAUGACCAUUGCUACAUAAAUAAAAUAAAAAUUGAAACUCAU